UCCUUUGCUUCCUCAAAUUCUGCAAGUAGUAAUUUGCCUUAAUUCUUUGCUUCCUAAUUGUUCUUUUUUACUAAUUCAGAUAUAAAGGGUUCGGCUCUUGGUUCUUGGUUUUCAAAGAGCUUUUGCUUAUUAUGAUGCUGCAGGGAAGGAACAAAGAAUUUGAAGACCAAAAAAAAAAAAAAAGGAAGAAGAAGCAUAAACUGAGUGAUAAAACUUGCUCCCUUCUUUUCAUUUUGAGUCUGUUCUUUUAUUUAUCUUGGCUCAAAUAGCUUCUUAUUUUGUCUGAUAAGAAUUUGUGAAUUGUGAAUUGUGUUUGUUCAUAAUUAAUCAUAGAUGUGAAGCUUUACAGUGUUAUCAAUGAUGAAGUACUGUACCACCGGGGAGGUAGAGAUAUCAUGAGGAAAGUGAUUGUGAUCACCUCCUGCUUGCCUUGAGAUAUGGACUUUAUCAUGCAAAAGACUCUCACGGUUGCGGCGUAUAAGUGUGUUUCUGUUGAGUUUCUGUUAUUUGAGCAAAAAUCAGCCCAUUUUAGCAUUGUCCUUGUUCAAGCUUGGAUUCAGUCCUCAAAUUAUAGCAUUGAUUAUUAUGCAGGGUCAAGCAUGUGAUGCUGACAAGUAUGUUAUUGGUCUGUGGUGCAAUGGCAAUGACGUGGAUAUGUGAUACCAUUACACAUUCUACAUUUGUAAUGGAGAGAUUUGAUCUACAAAAAGCACUUUUGGCUGCUCUUUUCAAUGCUCCUGAGAGACCCAAGGAGCCGGAGCUAGAAAGACCCGAGGAGCCAGAGCUACCAAAAAAAAGAACAGUAAGAUCAAGCAAGGGUCAUUGGGAGAUCAAGCAUGGACUACCAAGCUAUACUUUCUUUCAUCAUGCAAAACUUAGGAAACUUAAAAGCUUCUUAGUCUAUGAUAUGUAUGAAUGCUUUAACAAUGUUCCUUAAAUUCAAUAUUUGAUGAAUUGAUGUAUCACAAUGCUUUUGGUACAAAUAUUGAUCAUUUGAUGGUUUGCAUUCAAUUUGUCUUCCAAUUGAUCACUAUUAUAUCCAUUCAGAA